rnacentral:rRNA from 1 species
AACGAACGCUGGCGGCAGGCUUAACACAUGCAAGUCGUGGGGCAGCGCAGUGUAGCAAUACAUGGGCGGCGACCGGCAAACGGGUGCGUAACACGUACGCAACCUUCCCGUUACUGGGGAAUAGCCCAGGGAAACUUGGAUUAAUACCCCAUAUUAUAUUGAUUGGGCAUCUAAUUAAUAUCAAAGCUUCGGCGGUAACGGAUGGGCGUGCGGUUGAUUAGGUAGUUGGCGGGGUAACGGCCCACCAAGCCUACGAUCAAUAGCUGAUGUGAGAGCAUGAUCAGCCACACGGGCACUGAGACACGGGCCCGACUCCUACGGGAGGCAGCAGUAAGGAAUAUUGGGCAAUGGACGAAAGUCUGACCCAGCCAUGCCGCGUGGAGGAUGAAGGUCCUCUGGAUUGUAAACUUCUUUUUUCUGGGGCGAAAACCGGUUUUUCUAAACCAUUUGACAGUACCAGAAGAAUAAGCACCGGCUAACUCCGUGCCAGCCGCCGCAGUAAAAC